rnacentral:rRNA from 1 species
AGUGAACGCUGGCGGUAGGCCUAACACAUGCCAGUCGAACGGCAGCACAGUAAGAGCUUGCUCUUACGGGUGGCGAGUGGCGGACGGGUGAGGAAUACAUCGGAAUCUACUUUUUCGUGGGGGAUAACGUAGGGAAACUUACGCUAAUACCGCAUACGACCUACGGGUGAAAGCAGGGGAUCUUCGGACCUUGCGCGAUUGAAUGAGCCGAUGUCGGAUUAGCUAGUUGGCGGGGUAAAGGCCCACCAAGGCGACGAUCCGUAGCUGGUCUGAGAGGAUGAUCAGCAACACUGGAACUGAGAGACGGUCCAGACUCCUACGGGAGGCAGCAGUGGGGAAUAUUGGACAAUGGGCGCAAGCCUGAUCCAGCCAUACCGCGUGGGUGAAGAAGGCCUUCGGGUUGUAAAGCCCUUUUGUCGGGAAAGAAAAGCAGCAGGUUAAUACCCCGCUGUUCUGACGGUACCCAAAGAAUAAGCACCGGCUAACUUCGUG